rnacentral:rRNA from 1 species
AGGCCUAACACAUGCAAGUCGAACGGCAGCACAGGAGAGCUUGCUCUCUGGGUGGCGAGUGGCGGACGGGUGAGGAAUACAUCGGAAUCUACUUUUUCGUGGGGGAUAACGUAGGAAACUUACGCUAAUACCGCAUACGACCUACGGGUGAAAGCAGGGGAUCUUCGGACCUUGCGCGAUUGAAUGAGCCGAUGUCGGAUUAGCUAGUUGGCGGGGUAAAGGCCCACCAAGGCGACGAUCCGUAGCUGGUCUGAGAGGAUGAUCAGCCACACUGGAACUGAGACACGGUCCAGACUCCUACGGGAGGCAGCAGUGGGGAAUAUUGGACAAUGGGCGCAAGCCUGAUCCAGCCAUACCGCGUGGGUGAAGAAGGCCUUCGGGUUGUAAAGCCCUUUUGUUGGGAAAGAAAUCCAGCUGGCUAAUACCCGGUUGGGAUGACGGUACCCAAAGAAUAAGCACCGGCUAACUUCGUGCCAGCAGCCGCGGUAAUACGAAAGGGUGCAAGCGUUACUCGGAAUUACUGGGCCGUAAAGC